rfam:Anopheles epiroticus strain epiroticus2 unplaced genomic scaffold supercont1.1129, whole genome shotgun sequence.
UGAAGGUAGUUCUGUAAAAAGGUUGGAUCCGACGCCCCUAGAAGGCUACUAUAGGCUCUCCUUCUCAACUCCUACUCAAUACGUCCACGUCGUGCAGAACGGUAACUUGUCGCCUAGAUCCAAGCUUGGGUACACGGGGAAAGCCAACCCCUUGGGCGGAUGGGCGGCAAGGCUGAAUUGAGAGGU